rnacentral:lncRNA from 10 species
CAUGAGACAAGCUCAGAGUGUGAGAUGCACAGUUUUUCCAGAGUUCCAACACCUGGAGCAGAAUUAUCACUGUCCAGAUGAUGACCAAAACAAGAAUAAUCCAGCACUGUAAAGGAAAUUUUCAAGGUGUGCCUGGGUGACUAUGCUGGCCAAUGGAACAUAACUUGAAACGGCAUGUGUGAUUUCUGGAAAACAUCUCUAAAGAUCUCCUGGUGACCCUGUGGCCAGGACUGUUAGAGGCUCCUGAACUACAAUGGCAACGAUUGAAGAAACUGUUGUUGAAAAGUCCACGCCAAAUUCUCGGUAUGUCACUGAAGACAAGGACAUUUUGGGUAGAACCAGGCUGCUAAUCCACUCUUGCCAGGAGGGAAGAUUUUUUCUCUUUCUGUAGUGAGCAACAACGCCACUCGGUGAAGAAACUGAGGUUCAUGGAAGUUAAAUAACUUGCCCACAGGGCACAACUAGUAGGCAGCUAAGCUAGGACUUCAACUGAGGUCUGUAAGACUUAAAGCACAUGCUAUUCCUGCUCCUCAAUAGCUUUCCUGCUAAGCACCAAGAGACGCUAGGCUGCCAGGAACAUCACAGCAGAGACCACCGUCAAUCAAUGCAUCUCCACCGUCUUUUAGACAUUCUUUUGAAGAAAG